ensembl:lncRNA
GUAAAAACUAAUUAAAACUGAUAUAUAUCAGCUUCACUUUCUAGCUGCAAAAGCACGUUUCUGCAAAAGCAUGCAGUUUCCUGUCAGCACUUUUUGGCACAGAGUGUACUCAGAGUUAGGCCUUUCUUAUAUAAAGCAAUAUAAUCAGCAUAUAAACAUUUAAGAUGAUAAAUUUAAACAUCAACAGUAACUGCUAUAAAUAUUAUAACUACACAUGUAGUGCUUUUGCUUAAGUAAAUUAUAGUUGGGAUCAUAAUAAGAAAACAUGUUUUUAUUUUCUGUGUACCCUGGGUACAGACCAGUAUAAACAUGGGAUUCUUCCCAAUAAAUGCUGUCUGAUAAUGCUUCAUAUUGCAUUAAACACUAGAUAUGUAAGCAAACAAACAAAAACCCAUAGAAGCCAGUUUUAAUUAUUAAAUGUGACAAUUACAUGGAGAUGGAAAGUAAACAUGCUUAUACACGUCUCUGUGAUUACAGAAAAUCCACACAGAUGCUGUCAGAGCAGAGAAUCUUUGAUUUAUCAGAAUGAUGAAUGCAAAUGAUUUCAUGAAAUCUCACUCUUGUUCUGGGUUGUAAAAUUCACCUGUCCAGUUAAACCGAAUCCUUUGCAACACAGUUCUAAGAACCCAUCAACCUCAUCCUCAGCUCUCUGCCUGUUGUCCUUUUCAGCUGAGUAUUCAUCCACAUGUGUUUCAACUUCUCUCUCAUUUUCAAGCAAAUUGCUCAGGCUCUCAGCUUCAGCACAGUUACCAUAUGGCCACUCUCUGAGGUCUUCUGUGUUCAAGCCAAACAAAUUCUUACAUGAUCUGCAAGGCUUCAUUCUGGCACCAUCACGGAGACAAAAAGCCUCACACCUGAUAUUUCCAGAGUCUUUGAGCUGACUUAACAGAUCCAGCAGCUACACAGUGACAGCAUCAUAUACGCCUUGAAGACUGUCAGGUUUUGUUCCCUCCCUUUGAAUUAAUCUUCUUCAUAUUGAAGUGGCGAGCCGGUAGGACCAUUCUUUGUUUCCCCUCUUUCCCCCACUUAGCCGUCUUUGGAUUACGGACAUAUUUCCCCAUUUGUAUGAAGCUGGACUCUAAGGAGGAAUACCUUAAAAGUGAACUUUAAAAAGAAGAGGACCAAAAAGGACUUUUGCACAGAAAGAUCACAGCAUUGAUUUAUUAUUUAAUUGUGGGCAUUUAUGUUGUGUGUUGUGUUAAUUAUUUUGUUCCAUUUCCCCUUUCCUCCAUUUAUUCAAUAUAUUUUUGGUACAAGAUAUUGCAGUCUUUGGUCUC